rnacentral:rRNA from 1 species
UACGUAGGGACCGAGCGUUGUCCGGAAUCAUUGGGCGUAAAGAGCGUGUAGGCGGCCUUUUAAGUCCUGCGUGAAAUCCUGCGGCUCAACCGCAGACGGUCGUGGGAAACUGGAAGGCUAGAGUGCGGGAGAGGAGAGUGGAAUUCCCGGUGUAGCGGUGAAAUGCGCAGAUAUCGGGAGGAACACCUGAGGCGAAGGCGGGUUACUGGGCUGAUACUGACGCUGAUGCGCGAAAGCCAGGGGAGCAAACGGG